GAACGCACCUUGCGCCUUUUGGUAUUCCGAAAGGCACACCUGUUUGAGCGUCAUGAAUACCUCAAUCUCCAUCUUUUCUUCGGAUUGAUGGGUGACUUGGAUGUUGAGCCCUGCUGGUAUGCUAUAUCAGCUGGCUUUAAACUUAUUAGCCGGCUCUGUACUGGAUCGGUUUGACUCGACGUGAUAAUAUUAUCGUUGAGGAUACAUGUCUCAUGCAGCCGGAAAGUAUCAAAGCAGCUUCUAGCUUGCCUUUAGUGCACUUUUACAUUUUAGACCUCAGAUCAGGUGGGACUACCCGCUGAACUUAAG
rnacentral:misc_RNA from 1 species